AUAAUCGUGACGAAAAACAUGGUUGCAUGGUUCCAGCACGAGAGAAAUAGUUAAUGUUUUUACAAGUUGUAUCAUAGUAUGUAAUGGAGAAAAGGCCUCUUAACAAAACAUGCUCAGCUCAACUUUGCAAUAGCUAUAGGAAACAUCAGCAAAGGACUUGAGUUGUCCUAUAUUCAAUAUGGCAACACCGAAAUACCUUGGGCACCGAAUAGAAAUUCUGUGCUUUGGGAUAUUGAUGUGGACUUCGAUUUUAAUGGCUGUAGUCCAGCUGAUUGGUGCAUUUGAAGCCAAUAAUGAGCUACAACUUGAUGAGUUGCUAUGUCGAAAAUGUGGCCAUGGUAUUACAAUAGCUGAUGACUUGACUUCAGUUCCAACUAGAAAAGCUUUGCGCCAAAGAAAUGAUACAGUGUCAAAACAGAAAGAUACUUUAAUACAAUUAUUCGAAAAUCCUCAAGGGUUGAAGUUUGAAUUGAUCACCACCAGAAAAGCAGAUGUUAAAACAUUGGGUGAGAUAUUAUUUGUUGGCAGAAAGUUGCAGAAUACUCUUGGUUUCCUGGCUUUUCAUGGAUUGUUUGUGUGUGUCCCCACUGUGGUUUUCAUCUUGGCUGGAAAUUUGACUCUCUUGAUGAAAGUGAAGCUGGCCACAUGUCAUUUUUUGGUUUGAUUUUUUCACAUUUGAUUGGCUCAUCCUAGGAACCAUCAGUUUCCUGUAUCAUAUUCAAGAACAGAGUUCUAUUCGAGGACAGAAUUUUGGUGCCACAUUAACUUUUCUAGCAGGCACAUCAGACAUAAUUUUCUCCAAGAUGCAGAUUCGCUUCUACUCACACCAAAGGCAUACCAGAGCUAACUGACAGUCAAAGUUUAAGUUCAUUAAAGAACAAUACUAUAAGUCCUGGCCAGAACUUUUUAAAAGCAAUGAAGGAAAACCCUUCAUGGUGUAACAUCAUUGAAACUAGGCAUUAUUUCAACUGUGAUAGAAAGUUAUGUUUCCAAAGCAAA